CAGCACAUCCUCCCAGACCGACCUAACAGAUGUGGAUCAGUUGGAAAUAUUGCAGUGAGUAAUGGAACAAGAAGGAGCAGCUACAGUGAGCUGUUAGAGGAAGAGCUGCAGGCGACAGGCUGCACACCUCCAUCUUCUCAGCAAGAGGGUGUGGACUCUUAUUACCCCCCGACUGUACACUGCUUCAGUGCUUUCCCCCAGGAAAUACCAUUGGCAUGAGGUGAGAAAUCUUUGUACUGUACAGAACCUUAGGGCCACACACACAACCACAUACACACCAGGUCAGUGCUUUGUUUGUAUUGUGAACAUUUUCUACCUCUUCAGAGCAGAUUAAAAGAGAUAAGUUCCA
rnacentral:lncRNA from 15 species